rnacentral:rRNA from 1 species
AGUGAACGCUGGCGGUAGGCCUAACACAUGCAAGUCGAACGGCAGCACAGUAAGAGCUUGCUCUUACGGGUGGCGAGUGGCGGACGGGUGCGGAAUACAUCGGAAUCUACUUUUUCGUGGGGGAUAACGUAGGGAAACUUACGCUAAUACCGCAUACGACCUACGGGUGAAAGCAGGUGAUCUUCGGACCUUGCGCGAUUGAAUGAGCCGAUGUCGGAUUAGCUAGUUGGCGGGGUAAGGGCCCACCAAGGCGACGCUCCGUAGCUGGUCUGAGAGGAUGAUCAGCCACACUGGAACUGAGACACGGUCCAGACUCCUACGGGAGGCAGCAGUGGGGAAUAUUGGACAAUGGGCGCAAGCCUGAUCCAGCCAUACCGCGUGGGUGAAGAAGGCCUUCGGGUUGUAAAGCCCUUUUGUUGGGAAAGAAAAGCAGCAGGUUAAUACCCCGCUGUUCUGACGGUACCCAAAGAAUAAGCACCGGCUAACUUCGUG